UGCGGUUUUUUCUGUUUAGGAUUUUGGUUUUUACCCAUGAUCGUUUUCCUCGCGUGAUAAGAGAGAACUUUACCGUAGUUAUACUUUAGUUACCUCAGCACUUUCCACACACUGCUCUUUAUAUCUUCCCCUCUUUUUCUUCUCUGCUACCCCGGCUGAUUAUUGUUCUCUCCUGCUUUUGCCUGUCUGGAUCUAUGGAUGCCUUCUCCCCACCACCUCUUCUUCUUGUUGUUGUUGUUCUUUUCCUUCUUCUUCGUCGUCCUUUUUUCCCCCUGGUUCCUUCGCCGGCGACGCCGCCAUCGUUUGCUUCUUCUGCUGCUUUCCUACGCCCCUAAUAUGUGAUACAUUGGUUUUGUCUCGGGUUAUUAUUAACUUCAUCGUCUGCGCAAAAGAAGAAGAGGGGAGAAAAUGAACCGAAUUUAGCCUUAACUUAUAAUCUAUUUGUUUACUUGAUUUUUUUAUUCGAUGAUAAUCUAUGAUUUGUUGGUUUCUUUGUAUUUUGCUUGCAGCGAAGAACAAGCUGAAGGAAUUGCUUACAGCGUGCUUCCGUUAGACACAUUUGCGGAGAACAAGUUGAAGGAAUUGCUUACAGGGUUCUUCCGUUACACAGGUUAUUUGCUGUCCUGGCUUGUUACGUUGUUUCAUCAACGUGAAGUGAUCCACGGAGUCCCAUUGUGCUAUCACUGUUAGUCGCUGUCGCAGUUUUUUACGUCGCUUGAUCAACGUAAAGUAGCCUGCAGACUUUCAUUGUGCCGCCACAGUUAAUCGUUGUUGCAGCUUUUUACGUCGCUUGAUCAACGUGAAGUAGCCCGCAGACUUCCAUUGUGCCAUCACAGAUUGCGAUAUGCCGUUUGAUCUUCUCCCAACGUUGCAUCCAAAGUCCAAACAUUGGACAAUAUGUGCGCGUGUCUCACGCAAGUGGGAGUAUCGUGGUGGCACCGACGAUGGACCAAUAGCCCACAUUGACCUUGUUCUUAUAGAUGAACAGGGUAAUGCAAUAUAUGCUGAAAUACCAAACUCAGAAAUAGAAAGGAAAGAUCCUUUGCUCCAAGAAGGUGGUAUCUACGUUAUGAGCCGCUUCAGAGUCUCAAAUUCCAAAACCCUGUACAGGCCAGUUGAUGCACCAUAUAUGAUUGAAUUUACUUGCUACACUAAGAUAACUCCAGCGAGAGAUCCACCAGAAACAUUCCCAAGAUAUGUCUACAAACUCACACCUUUUCUUGAACUACCUCAUUAUACUGGUGAAAACAAGAAUUUCCUGGAUGUGAUUGGCAUCGUCACUGAAGUUUCAGACACAUCUCUCAUACAACUUGCGAAUCGGUCAACUCCUACUGUAAGCAGACACAUCAUGCUUAAAGACCUAAACAAUGUUGAGGUUAAACUGACACUGUGGGGACAGCGAGCCACGCAGUUUACCAUUGAUGAAAUUUAUAAUGAACAACAAGCUACACCGGUUGUUAUUCUUGUUGUUGGCAAUCUCAUGAAAACUUUUGCAGGUGAAGAAUACCUAAGUGGAAACGCAGCAUGUCACUGGUAUUUCAAUCCUUCAAUCCCAGAAGCUGAACCAUUCUAUAACACUAUCCAAAACCAACAACUGGUGAUCAAACGCACUGCUGCCUCCACACAGCAACCUCCAUCCACACUAAAACCAAUUCAAGUUGAAGAUAAGCAGCUCCAAGAUUUAGAAACAAUGAAUCCAUACGACUUUCCGGAAAAUGGAUGCCGCUGCACUGUGACAAUUACUCGCUUGGUUCAAACCACAGCAUGGUGGUUUGCAUCAUGCAACAAAUGCAGUCGUGCUUGCACUCCAGAUGGCCCAGGAUAUAAAUGCACCACAUGUUCUUGCACAGGCUAUCGCUUCAAGUACAAAUUAUGCUUUGUAGCAAAUGACGGCACUGCUGAAGCUGAAAUGGUUGCUUUUGGUGAAGUUGGACGGCGCAUAGUUGGUAAACCAGUUCAGCAGGUCCUGAGAGCCACAAGAAUUGGAAAUGAUAUCCCACCGGACAUUGCAGCUAUAGUUUCACUGAAAUUCACCUUUGCAAUUACCCUGACGAAUCAAAGUUACUACAGCCCGAAAAAAUCAUACCAGGUGAACUCUAUCAUCGCUGCCUAUGGGAGGCAACAUACACUCCCACAACUAAGAAACAAUCAAAACAAAGGGCUAUUAAAUCCUCAAAUGACAAUUCACUCAAGCACCCAACAAGAAUCAUUGAUGUCUAAACCAAGCAUCCAUGCUGACACACAUCACAUUGACCCCUAUGCCUCUCCACCUGCUGCUACUCCUCCAUCUGCAUCAAAGUCUACCACGACUUCUACACCAUCAGAUACUCAAAGAACAGCCACUGGAAAUGUAUUGCUAGACAAUAUAAGCUUCCACUUCCCUUUAUGAUACACUUGGAAUCUCAUACAGCAUAUAAUAUCCUCUUAAUGACAUAAAUUCUAACUAUAUUACACUAUUGUUUCAGACACUUCCCCCUUUACUAGACUAUACUGAAUCAGUAUCCAAGAAAUCUCAACUUUGGGAUGCUGCUGAUGCCUCUAGCCACUCUGGUGCUAAAAGAAAGCUCUUUCGAGAAAGCCCAGAUGCAACAAAGGAAACCAAUAUAAGCUAUAA